GUGGGGAAUAUUGCACAAUGGGGGAAACCCUGAUGCAGCGACGCCGCGUGAGUGAAGAAGUAUUUCGGUACGUAAAGCUCUAUCAGCAAGGAAGAAAAUGACGGUACUUGACUAGGAAGCCCCGGCUAACUACGUGCCAGCAGCCGCGGUAAUACGUAGGGGGCAAGCGUUAUCCGGAUUUACUGGGUGUAAAGGGAGCGUAGACGGUAUGGUAAGUCAGAUGUGAAAGCCCGGGGCUCAACCCCGGGACUGCAUUUGAAACUAUCAGACUAGAGUGCAGGAGAGGUGAGUGGAAUUCCUAGUGUAGCGGUGAAAUGCGUAGAUAUUAGGAGGAACACCAGUGGCGAAGGCGGCUUACUGGACUGUAACUGACGUUGAGGCUCGAAAGCGUGGGGAGCAAACAGGAUUAGAAACCCGGGUAGUCC
rnacentral:rRNA from 1 species